rnacentral:lncRNA from 1 species
CGAGGAGAGUGUCUUGGGCAGCCUUCACAUUCUCAGGUCUUCCUCCCCAUGUUUUCAGGCAAGUGUUCUGAAGAGCUCUAGCAUAAGAAAAGGAGACAUGCCAUGGGUUGGGGCUCUGGUUCAUGGCAUUCAGGUUCAGCGUUGCCUCCACUUCAGACUGACCUCCAGAGAGGAACUGUUGGCCAUAAACAUCCAAAAGAUCUUGAGUAUUUGGUUCCUUUAUCAGUUAAUCAUCACUUUUACAAGAUAACCUUCAUAGGAUCUAUAAAUUUUCAAGAGAGAGUACCAUGAUGCCAGGGACAGAAGGUGGAAUUCUUCUGUGGAGAAGCUUCAGGGUGUACUCAGCCACUUGUUCUGGAGAGGCUUUCUCCUUGCAUUCAGCUCCGGGUGUUACCAUGCUUGGCUUGAGAAGGAUGCCCUCAUACAUGACAUUGUUCUCCGCCAUGUAGAAGAAGACCUCGGCCCAUACUUUCUGCGCAACCUCAAAGGUCCUUUCAAUUCCAUGUUCUCCAUCCAGCAGUAUUUCCGGCUCAACUAUUGGAACCAAUCCAUUAUC